rnacentral:pre_miRNA from 1 species
CGCGGGAGGUUGGAUUCUGGGUUGUGUCCCUGGCGCCCUGUGCUCUGGUGCCUGCGCUGUUUGAUUCGCACUCCCGGUCGCCGGGCAGCCCCCU